UACGAAGGGUGCAAGCGUUACUCGGAAUUACUGGGCGUAAAGCGUGCGUAGGCGGUUUGUUAAGUCUGUCGUGAAAGCCCCGGGCUCAACCUGGGAAUGGCGAUGGAUACUGGCGAGCUAGAGUACGGUAGAGGAGAGUGGAAUUCCCGGUGUAGCAGUGAAAUGCGUAGAGAUCGUAAGGAAGACCAGUGGCGAAGGCGGGUCUCUGGACAGUUCCUGACACUGAGGCACGAAGGCCAGGGGAGCAAACGGG
rnacentral:rRNA from 1 species